rnacentral:misc_RNA from 1 species
GAUGAAGAACGCAGCGGAAUGCGAUACGUAAUGUGAAUUGCAGAUUUCAGUGAAUCAUCGAAUCUUUGAACGCACAUUGCGCCCGCCAGUAUUCUGGCGGGCAUGCCUGUUCGAGCGUCAUUUCAACCAUCAAGCGCCUCGCUUGUGUUGGGGCCCUGCGGCUGCCGCAGGCCCCUAAAUCCAGUGGCGGGCUCGUCGUCGUACCGAGUGCAGUAAACAUCCUCGCUCAGGGAACCCGACGGGUGCCGGCCGUGAAACCCCCCCUCCUCAAGGUUGACCUCGGAUCAGGUAGGAAUACCCGCUGAACUUAAGCAUAUCAAUAAGCGGAGGA